UUCGUUCAUAUCACGAUGAAAUACCGGUUCCCGGAAAAUCACCGAAGUUAAGCAACAUCAAGCCUAGUUAAUACCUAGAUGGGUAACCGCUUGGGAAUACCAGGUGCUGUCA